rnacentral:rRNA from 1 species
AGCAGCCGCGGUAAUUCCAGCUCCAAUAGCGUAUAUUAAAGUUGUUGCAGUUAAAAAGCUCGUAGUUGAAUUUCGGGGUUCUACCGUCGGUCGGGCUACCAAGUCUGUACUGGUGUGUAGAAUUCCUACCUUCUGGGGAACUAUCAUGUUAUUAAUUUAGCGUGGUGGGAAACCAGGACCUUUACCUUGAAAAAAUUAGAGUGUUCAAAGCAGGCUUAUGUCUGAAUACAUUAGCAUGGAAUAAUAGAAUAGGACGGUGGUCCUGUUUUGUUGGUUUCUGAAUCACCGUAAUGAUUAAUAGGGAUAGUUGGGGGCAUUAGUAUUCAAUUGUCAGAGGUGAAAUUCUUGGAUUUAUUGAAGACUAACUUCUGCGAAAGCAUUUGCCAAGGAUGUUUUCAUUAAUCAAGAACGAAAGUUAGGGGAUCGAAGACGAUCAGAUACCGUCGUAGUCUUAACCAUAAACUAUGCCGACUAGGGAUCGGACGAUGUUAAAUUUUAUUGACUCG